AACGAACGCUGGCGGCAUGCCUAACACAUGCAAGUCGAACGAGACCUUCGGGUCUAGUGGCGCACGGGUGCGUAACGCGUGGGAACCUGCCCUUAGGUUCGGAAUACCUCCCCGAAAGGGGUGCUAAUACCGGAUAAUGUCCUCCGACCAAAGAUUUAUCGCCUUUGGAUGGGCCCGCGUUGGAUUAGCUAGUUGGUAGGGUAAAAGCCUAGCAAGGCGACGAUCCAUAGCUGGUCUGAGAGGAUGAUCAGCCACACUGGGGCUAAGACACGGCCCAGACUCCUACGGGAGGGAGCAGUGGGGAAUAUUGGAAAAUGGGCGAAAGCCUGAUCAAGCAAUGCCGGGUGAGUGAUGAAGGCCUUAGGGUUGUAAAGUUCUUUUACCCGGGAUGAUAAUGACAGUACCGGGAGAAUAAGCUCCGGCUAACUCCGUG
rnacentral:rRNA from 1 species